UGUGACGGGAAUGUUUAUUUUGAAUUUGCAUACAGACAUCAGAAUUACAUUUUUGUUAAAUAUUAGUUAGAUUUUUACUCGAAUUAAUGGGUACCUAACCUCUGUUAAAAUUGAUAAGAUUUCUGUUCUAUAGGUUCGACAGUAAAUAAACAUAAUAAAAUAUACACUAUUAAACAUGCAGCAGACAAGACAAAUAAACGAAUCACUGAUAACUGUGUGGAAAGGAUGUAGAGUGAUCGGUCUUAUAAAUAUGAUCAGUAUUGAUUAGCUAUUGAGUAUCAUAUUACAUUUACAAUUAGAAGACCAACCGACCACUAACCAACCCAUUAUUUAAAAAAAUCUCAGAAGCAAUUGCCUUUGAAAUCAUCGUUUACCUACCAGUUUCCACACCACUGCUAUCACUCAAGUUAUGGAUAUAAUAAAUUUGAACAUUUUACUAAAAUUCAGUAAGGAUUAAUGACAAAUAAUGAUUUGAAAUAAUGAAAUAUUUAUUUACCUAUUGAAAUAGUCGGACUUGCCAUUCAUGCUUAUUACAUGGGAUUUAAUUUCAAUGACUAUUUCGGCAAUCCUGGAACAUUAAAAACAAUUUCGGAAUAUGCAGUCAUCGCUGGAAUUAUCAUAAUGAUUAUGCUUGCCAUCAUGUUAUUACAUUCUAACUAUGCAUUAUUUCGAAACUCAGCUAAUAAUGAAAUUAAGGUUUAUAUAUGGCUGGUACAGCACACAAUGGUGUUUUUUAUUUGUUUUGUAAUCUGUAUCAUCGUGGUAAUAUUUGAAUAUGAAGGUGUAUUUUCAUUUUGUUUUGCUCCCAACUUGGUUAUAGUACUAUUGAUAGAAAUAAUUAUUGUCAAAAAGUUAUACAGAGAAAUUACAUCGGCUAGAGAGGGUAAUAUGAUAUAUCAGCCUUAAAAGUUUAAACCUGAAAAUUUGACAACAACAUCGAUGAACAUUUUAAAAUCAAUUAUGAAUAUAUACGUUUUAUAACUAUAUUGAUAAAUAUUUAAGUCAUUGAAUGAUCUGCAAAGAAGUUAAAAUUCCAGAUAGUCACUGUACCUAAUAUUAAAAUUCAGCUUUCAAAUGUCUAAAUCAAAUAAUUAGACAAACAAUCAUUGGUAACAAAAAAUGUUUUUAAAAUAUAUUAAUUAAUAAAUUACAAUAACUUACGAAUAUUA